rnacentral:rRNA from 1 species
GGUAUGAAAGGGUUAACGAAGAAGGUGCUGUGUCUAAAAAUUCAAUUUAAACUAACUUAAAGGUGAAGAGGCCUUUAUGUAAAAGAAGGACGACAAGACCCUAUGAAGCUUUAUCUUAAUUGGAGCUUUCAGGCUCUUAUACGAUUUUGAUGGGAGAUCAGUAGAAAUAAGUCCUCUACUAUUAUAUUAAUCUUACUAGUAUUUCCUAACUUUAUAUGUGUGACUAGCUACUCUAGGGAUAACAGCGCAAUUUCUCCCGAAAGAUGGUAUUGGAGGGGAAGAUUGCGACCUCGAUGUUGGCUUUAGAUACCCUAGAGGCGUAGAAGCUUCU